CCUACGGGAGGCAGCAGUGAGGAAUAUUGGUCAAUGGGCGAGAGCCUGAACCAGCCAAGUAGCGUGAAGGAUGACUGCCCUACGGGUUGUAAACUUCUUUUAUAAAGGAAUAAAGUGAGGCACGUGUACCUUUUUGUAUGUACUUUAUGAAUAAGGAUCGGCUAACUCCGUGCCAGCAGCCGCGGUAUUACGGAGGAUCCGAGCGUUAUCCGGAUUUAGUGGGUUUAAAGGGAGCGUAGAUGGGUUGUUAAGUCAGUUGUGAAAGUUUGCGGCUUAACCGUAAAAUUGCAAUUGAUACUGGGAGUCUUGAGUACAGUUGAGGUAGGCGGAAUGCGUGGUGUAGCGGUGAAAUGCUUAGAUAUCACGAAGAACUCCGAUUGCGAAGGCAGCUUACUAAACUGCCACUGACGUUGAUGCUCGAAAGUGUGGGUAUCAAACAGGAUUAGAUACCCGAGUAGUC
rnacentral:rRNA from 1 species